rnacentral:rRNA from 1 species
CUACGUGCCAGCAGCCGCGGUAAUACGGAAGGUUCGGGCGUUAUCCGGAUUUAUUGGGUUUAAAGGGAGCGUAGGCCGGAGAUUAAGUGUGUUGUGAAAUGUAGACGCUCAACGUCUGACUUGCAGCGCAUACUGGUUUCCUUGAGUACGCACAACGUUGGCGGAAUUCGUCGUGUAGCGGUGAAAUGCUUAGAUAUGACGAAGAACUCCGAUUGCGAAGGCAGCUGACGGGAGCGCAACUGACGCUGAAGCUCGAAGGUGCGGGUAUCGAACAGGAUUAGAUACCCUGGUAGUCCGCACUGUAAACGAUGGAUGCCCGCCGUUGGCGCCCUGCGCCUGCGGCCAAGCGAAAGCAUUAAGCAUCCCACCUGGGGAGUACGCCGGCAACGGUGAAACUCAAAGGAAUUGACGGGGGCCCGCACAAGCGGAGGAACAUGUGGUUUAAUUCGAUGAUACGCGAGGAACCUUACCCGGGCUUGAAUUGCAGAGGAAUUAUUUAGAGAUA